rnacentral:rRNA from 1 species
UGCGUAGGCGGCUUUGCAAGUCAGAUGUGAAAUCUAUGGGCUCAACCCAUAAACUGCAUUUGAAACUGUAGAGCUUGAGUGAAGUAGAGGCAGGCGGAAUUCCCCGUGUAGCGGUGAAAUGCGUAGAGAUGGGGAGGAACACCAGUGGCGAAGGCGGCCUGCUGGGCUUUAACUGACGCUGAGGACAAAGACGUGGGUAGCAAACA